ACUUAAAUUGAAGAGUUUGAUCAUGGCUCAGAUUGAACGCUGGCGGCAGGCCUAACACAUGCAAGUCGAGCGGUAACACAGGGAGCUUGCUCCUGGGUGACGAGCGGCGGACGGGUGAGUAAUGUCUGGGAAACUGCCUGAUGGAGGGGGAUAACUACUGGAAACGGUAGCUAAUACCGCAUAACGUCGCAAGACCAAAGAGGGGGACCUUCGG
rnacentral:rRNA from 1 species